rnacentral:tRNA from 1 species
GCAUCCAUGGCUGAAUGGUUAAAGCGCCCAACCUAUACUAAAGGGGCAAAUUCGUAGGUUCGAUUCCUGCUGGAUGCU